rnacentral:sRNA from 1 species
AAAGCCACCCUACAGGGGGGAUGAGAACACCCGACCGAGGUUCGAUAACUGGCGCAGCCAGUUGGACAGACGACGAGCCUGCGAGGAGUCUGCCCGCAGGGCGAGCGCAGCGAGUCAAUCCCCCCCUCACCGCCA